UACAGAGGGGGCAAGCGUUAUUCGGAAUUAUUGGGCGUAAAGAGCGCGUAGGCGGUCCGAUAAGUCGGCUGUGAAAGUCAAGGGCUCAACCCUUGAAAGCCGGCCGAUACUGUCGGACUAGAGUCCGGAAGAGGCGAGUGGAAUUCCCGGUGUAGCGGUGAAAUGCGCAGAUAUCGGGAGGAACACCUGUGGCGAAAGCGGCCUGCUGGGCUAUGGCUGACACUGAGGCGCGACAGCGUGGGGAGCAAACAGGG
rnacentral:rRNA from 1 species